AAAGCAAAAGUUGUGGCCGGUCCAGCAGGAGUUAGCGACAGGGAGGGAUGCGCCCCUGGGUGUAGUUGUGGGGGAGGAAGUGGCUAGCUCAGGGCUUCAGGAGACAGACAGGGAGAGAUGACUGAGUUAGAUGAGACUAGGGGGCGGGCUGGGGGUGCGAGAAGGAAGCUUGGCAAGGAGACUAGGUCUAGGGGGACCACAGUGGGGCAGGCUGCAUGGAAAAUAUCCGCAGGGGCUCCCAGGCAGAACAGCCACGCUCCAGGCCAGGCUGUCCCUACUGCCUGGUGGAGGGGAAACUUGACCUCUGGGAGGGCGCCGCUCUUGCAUGGCUGAGCGAGCCCGGGUGCGCUGGUCUGUGUGGAAGGAGGAAGGCAGGGAGAGGUAGAAGGGGUGGAGGAGUCAGGAGGAAUAGGCCGCAGCAGCCCUGGAAAUGAUCAGGAAGGCAGGCAGUGGGUGCAGGGCUGCAGGAGGGCCGGGCGGGCUAAGCUUCAACUUGUCCAUGCCAGCAGCACCUUUUUUUCCAGACCAAGGGCUGUGAACCCGCCUGGGGAUGAGGCCUGGUCUUGUGGAACUGAACUUAGCUCGACGGGGCUGACCGCUCUGGCCCAGGGUGGUGGCAGUGCUCCUUUUGGACUUUUCUCUAGGUUUGGCGCUAAACUCUUCUUGUGAGCUCACUCCACCCCUUCUUCCUCCCUUUAACUUAUCCAUUCACUUAAAACAUUACCUGGUCAUCUGGUAAGCCCGGGACAGUAGCCGAGUGGCUGUUGGAGUCGGUAUUGUUGGUAAUGGUGGAGGAAGAGAGGCCUUCCCGCUGAGGCUGGGGUGGGGCGGAUCAGUGUUGCUUGCCUGCAGAGAGGGUGGGGAGUGAGUGUGCACCCUUGGGUGGGCCUGCAGCCAUCCAGCUGAAAGUUACAAAAAUGCUUCAUGGACCGUGGUUUGUUACUAUAGUGUUCCUCAUGGCGAGCAGAUGGAACCGGGAGACAUGGAGCCCCUGGCCAGUGUGAGUCCUAGCAGUGCAGGAGGGGAGACCCUGGAGGAGAGAGCCCGCCUCAAUUGAUGCCUGCAGAUUGAAUUUCCAGAGGCUUAGGAGGAGGAAGUUCUCCAAUGUUCUGUUUCCAGGCCUUGCUCAGGAAGCCCUGUAUUCAGGAGGCUACCAUUUAAAGUUUGCAGAUGAGCUUAUGGGGGGCAAUCUUAAAAAGUCCACAGCAGAUGCAUCCGGCUCGAGGGGCCAUCAGCUUUGAAUAAAUGCUUGUUCCAGAGCCCAUGAAUGCCAGCAGGCACCCCUCCUUUCCUGGGGUAAAGGUUUUCAGAUGCCGCAUCUUCUAAAUUGAGCCUCCGGUCAUACUAGUUUUGUGCUUGGAACCUUGCUUCAAGAAGAUCCCUAAGCUGUAGAACAUUUUAACGUUGAUGCCACAACGCAGAUUGAUGCCUUGUAGACGGAGCUUGCAGAUGGAGCCCCGUGACCUCUCACCUACCCACCUGUUUGCCUGCCUUCUUGUGCGUUGCUCGGAGAAGUUCUUAGCCUGAUGAAAUAACUUGGGGCGUUGAAGAGCUGUUUAAUUUUAAAUGCCUUAGACUGGGGAUAUAUUAGAGGAAGCAGAUUGUCAAAUUAAGGGUGUCAUUGUGUUGUGCUAAACUCUGGGAGGGUACAAGUUGGUCAUUCCUAAAUCUGUGUGUGAGAAAUGGCAGGUCUAGUUUGGGCAUUGUGAUUGCACCGCAGAUUACUAGGAGAAGGGAAUGGUGGGUACACCGGUAGUGCUCUUUUGUUCUUGCUUCGUUUUUUUAAACUUGAACUUUACUUCGUUAGAUUCAUAAUACUUUCUUGGCAUUCUAGUAAGAGGACCCCGAGGUGGGAGUUGUGGGGGACGGGAAGAAGGGGACAGCUGGCACUGGUCCCGUGGGCCUUGCAU
rnacentral:lncRNA from 1 species